UAACGCGUUAAAUCGACCGCCUGGGGAGUACGGCCGCAAGGUUAAAACUCAAAUGAAUUGACGGGGGCCCGCACAAGCGGUGGAGCAUGUGGUUUAAUUCGAUGCAACGCGAAGAACCUUACCUGGUCUUGACAUCCACAGAACUUAGCAGAGAUGCUUUGGUGCCUUCGGGAACUGUGAGACAGGUGCUGCAUGGCUGUCGUCAGCUCGUGUUGUGAAAUGUUGGGUUAAGUCCCGCAACGAGCGCAACCCUUAUCCUUUGUUGCCAGCGGUUCGGCCGGGAACUCAAAGGAGACUGCCAGUGAUAAACUGGAGGAAGGUGGGGAUGACGUCAAGUCAUCAUGGCCCUUACGACCAGGGCUACACACGUGCUACAAUGGCAUAUACAAAGAGAAGCGACCUCGCGAGAGCAAGCGGACCUCAUAAAGUAUGUCGUAGUCCGAAUUGGAGUCUGCAACUCGACUCCAUGAAGUCGGAAUCGCUAGUAAUCGUAGAUCAGAAUGCUACGGUGAAUACGUUCCCGGGCCUUGUACACACCGCCCGUCACACCAUGGGAGUGGGUUGCAAAAGAAGUAGGUAGCUUAACCUUCGGGAGGGCGCUUACCACUUUGUGAUUCAUGACUGGGGUGAAGUCGUAACAAGGUAACCGUAGGGGAACCUGCGGUUGGAUCACCUCCUUA
rnacentral:rRNA from 1 species